rnacentral:lncRNA from 1 species
UCUGUGCACCCGGACUAGGCCUACUGAUGUCCUGUUCAGUUUGAUUGGGAGAGCGCGAAGAUGAGGAGGACCGGAGGCUACUAACAACAAGAGGGCUUUGUGUUGGAGCCUAUUUCUUCCUAUUCAAGAAAUAAGAGCGCCUCACAAUCAUCACAGGAAACAGCAGAGGGAGCACACCCCUAUCCAAAUUGAUGGGACCACAGUGGAGAAGGUGGAAAGCUUCAAGUUCCUCGGCGUACACAUCACUGACAACUGAAAUGGUCCACCCACACAGACAGUGUGGUGAAGAAGGUGCAACAGACUGUUUUUCAGUCUCUCAGUCCCAGCUUUGACACACCUGUACUAACCUCGCCUUCUGGAUCGUAGCGGGGUGAACAGACAGUGGCUUGGGUGGUUGAUGUCCUUGAUUAACUUUUUGGCCUUCCUAUGGCAUCGGUGAAGAGGUGCAACAGCAACUCUUCAACCUCAGGAGGCUAAAGAAAUUUGGCUUAACACCUAAAAUCCUCAUUAACUUUUACAGAGCAUCCUGUCGGGCUGCAUCACCGCCUGGUAUGGCAACUGCACUGCCCACAACCACAAAGCUCUCCAGAGAUUGGUGUGGUCUGCCCAAUGCAUUACCGGGGGCAAACAUCCCGCCCUCCUGGACACCUACAGCACCCGAUGCCAUAGGAAGGCCAAAAAGAUAAUCAAGGACAUCAACCACCUGUCACGACUUACGCCGAAGUUGGUGCCUCUCCUUGUUCGGGCGACGUUCGGCGGUCGUCGUCACCAGCUUUCUAACUGCCACCAAUCCACGUUUCUUUUUCCAUUUGUUAUGUCUUGAUUGUUCACACCUGGUUCCCAUUAUGUUAUUAUUAUUUCCCUAUUUAACCCUCUGGUUCUCAUUAUGUUUUGUGCAUGAUUGUUUCAUGGUUUUUGUGUUAGUCGUUCGUGUUAGGGUUGUUAUCCCUGAGUGGAUUUUUGGAUAAUUAUUUUUCAGAGUAAAGUACGUUAUUUUACUCAGUUCUGUGUCCUGCGCCUGACUCCAUCCUCAACUCCACACAACUGACACUUGACACCACCAAAGCCACUGCCUGUUCACCCCGCUAUCAUCCAGAAGGCGAGGUUAAUACAGGUGCCUCAAAGCUGGGACUGAGAGACUGAAAAACAGCUUCAAUCUCAAGUCCAUCAGACUGCUAAACAGCCACCACUAGCACAUCAGAG